rnacentral:rRNA from 1 species
UACGAAGGGGGCUAGCGUUGUUCGGAAUUACUGGGCGUAAAGCGCGCGCAGGCGGUCCUUCAAGUCAGAGGUGAAAGCCCAGAGCUCGACUCUGGAACGGCCUUUGAAACUAGAGGACUUGGGUCCGGGAGAGGUGAGUGGAACUGCGAGUGUAGAGGUGAAAUUCGUAGAUAUUCGCAAGAACACCAGUGGCGAAGGCGGCUCACUGGCCCGGUACUGACGCUGAGGUGCGAAAGCGUGGGGAGCAAACAGG